rnacentral:rRNA from 1 species
UACGUAGGGGGCAAGCGUUGUCCGGAUUUAUUGGGCUUAAAGGGUGCGUAGGUGGUCUAUUAAGUCAGUGCUGAAAUAUCCCGGCUUAACCGGGAGGGUGGCAUUGAUACUGAUGGACUUGAAUGGAGUCGAGGUAGGCGGAAUUGACGGUGUAGCGGUGAAAUGCUUAGAUAUCGUCAAGAACACCGAUAGUGUAGACAGCUUACUAGGCUCUAAUUGACACUGAGGCACGAAAGUGUGGGGAUCAAACAGG